GUGUACUUAAGCUUCAUUUCAUCAUCAUCUAAAAAGCGGUUCCAGUGUGCAUUCUGAUUUGGUGUACAAAAUUCAAAGUAUUAUUUGUAUUUUUGAAGCCAGAGAAACCCGACUGCUACCUAUAUGUACUUCUCUGUUCCAAGCACAACACAACAAGCAUAAAAAACAAUCUCUAGUGGAAUUUCUGGUGAACAAUCGGCGCAUCCUGGAGCUGCAUCGGAUUUUUGACGAAAGUGACAAUUUCUACUAUAGUUUUUACUGAUGAGCUCGGAUAAGGCCAAUAAUUUGCAUCGGAAAGGUGAAUCUGAAGAUAAUCGAUUUCUACUGGAACCAAACAUGGUGAAGGGAAUGGAGGCUGUUCGUCAUUCUAGAAUUCGAUCAGAUCGAGCAAUCCGUAAUAGGGAAUAGAUGGUUUACGAUACCGAUACUGAUUUAUUGAAGUCGACCUUGAAACAUAUAGACCACCACACUUAGGCUUGAUCGAGUUGAAUAAUAUAUCCGACUAGCAUUCGAAAAGCAUUUCAAACAUGAACUGCGGCUGUAUCAGCCGGUUUGUGUCAUUAACCUGGUGGAACAAAGCGGCAAGGAUAUUGCGAUUAUGGAAGUUAAUAGCAAUUACGUGGAUUGUGCUUGAUAGGCUUCCAUUCGCGAGAUAGCUACAAAAUCAUUUGUAAUUGCAUCAGCAUUGUCUCAUCGGAUGAAAGAAUCCCACGUACUGUAAAUGAGCACAAUCCGCUCACCAUGACGACAUUCCAACUGGUUUGCAACGCUUUGGUCCUGCUGCAGCUCGUUGGGUCCCAUCAAGAAACUCGGUCAAUUUUCCAGAUUUGCUGUUCGAUGGAUUGCAGAAGCGGUGCGAAAUGUGGAAACUAUGCAACGUUAACUAAAAAAUGGCCAAAACACAGGAAAAGGUCAAGGACUGCUGCAUCUAAUCUUUCAACCUGGCCGAAAUAACGUCUUUCAUCGUCAGUCCCAACGAGUGUCCUAAUACCGUAACCUGUCCCUAGCAUUGCUUCACCCUUGGCAUCCUAGUCAUAGCGAUCACAGCUACGCCAGAAGCGCCAAGUCAUUCGAGCUUCAAGCGGGACGCUUGCGCUGUCUCCUUCGAUCCUCAGCGAUCCGAAAUCAUUGCACAAAAUAGUUGAAAAUUUCUCACUAAACAGCAUAUAAAAUCAGCUUCAUUGGAUGAAUCAAUGAGUCGCAACUACGCAGGAUCCGAUCAAUGAGCAGAACUCAAUCAAGAAUGUUUCUUCAAGUUCUGGUCAAGAAUUGAAAAAGAAAUGUUGAAAUCAUUAGGGGAAGGAGAAAAUCCAGAUUCUGGGCUGAUAGAUGACUGCUAAAAUGUGCUACUGCUGCCAAAGGAAGGAUUAGAAAAUGGCGAAGAGUUCGGAUUUUGCGUGUGUUUAAACCACUCCGGUGUUGAUAUAAAGAUUAACAGGCAGUGUUUGCUACUGCCAGACUAACCAGAUUAUACGGACAUUAUCUCGGACUAAAAGGCACCUUUAAGUGUCCCUUAGUGGUGGCGCAUUUUGUUAUGCCGAAAAAGCAAAGAGCGUGCUCUGUCGGCUGGAACAUAGAACGCUCAGAAAAUAAACGGUCAAUACGUCUAUUUACAAUGAUCCCGAUCCAUAAAGUACCGUGAUCGCCGAAGAUCAGAAAUUCGUCAAUGUGUACUGAAAAGUACAUGUACAUGCAGUUGCCAUUACCAGCUACCAUGCGAAGGAUUGUCAUUACUCCAGUGAGAGUUCUUUUUUUUGUAUCUCAUCAACAUUAUCAUCAAAAAUUAUUAUCAAACAUUAUCAAAAAUUAAAAUUUCACUAUUACGUGUAUUAUGUUU